GUGAGCAAAUGUUACCUUCGGAUCAGUCGUCAACGGUUUUCCAUUAGUCGUACUGAAAGUUUGAACACAUUAAUGGCGUCGUUUGGUUGACGCCUUGAUAGCGUAUUUCCAAAAAUGGUGAAUAAAUUGUGCUUCAAAAAAUUGCUCAGUUUGCCGGGCACACUGUCUACCACAUGUUCUAUCAGAGAGUAUUUGAGCAUCAAAGGUUGCUUGGUUUGAAAUUGGUUCCCAAGUUAAAACUUGCUCACAUUUGGCCAUCAACCUGGCAGAGAAUGACGGUAAGCUUGGCCACACAGCUGUACUCCAAACAUAUGGCCAUGGCUUUAAAAUUUUUAAGAGAAGACAAAAAAACAGCGCAUUUAUUCAAUGGAUCGGAAGCUACAGAAAAGCUUACAAAGCUUAUUAAUGACACAUUUGACAUUAUGAAUGGACGACACAAGGGUGAGUCAAUUAAUGGGAACAACUGGAAUAAUUUAGUCGAAAUGGAGGGAAAGGUAACAAAGGGGAAAAAAUCUGUACUCGAAGACAUGCUAAAAAUAAUAGAGUUAACUGAGGAGUGCCAUCGCAAUCCUGGAAAACGUCCAAUAAUGUAGCAGGUUACAUGGUGAAAACGAGAGAAAACCUUUUCGAGUGUGAGGCAUGCAGACAGACCGUAAUUACCAAAGAAGCAGAUCUACCAAGUGAUUUUGACGCAGAUGCAUACACGAGAGCUCGAACCAAAGGUGGACUGGUGUUUGUCACCCUGUCAAUGUACCAAACUUUGUGCGCAGUUGAAAAAGUUGUCUCAAACCACUUUAAGUCACUUAAUCAUGUUUAUAUCACUGAUACAUUCCAAGAGUGUAUAGCAAAAGUUAAAUUAACCAAUGUACUGCCCAUUUUUGUGAUACUCAUCGCCAUUGUAAUAUGGGAACUUUAAUAAUGGAGUAUGUAAAAGUGAGAUAUUAUUUUGGAUCUAAACGUUUGAACGAUGUUUUAUUGUCCAAAGAACAAACAACAGUCCAGGCGAGUUUCAAACUGGCCAAAAAUGCCCAUACAAGAAAUUUAAUACAAAGUAAUACUUAAA